rnacentral:rRNA from 1 species
ACUCAAAUGAAUAGACGGGGACCCGCACAAGCAGUGGAGUAUGUGGUUUAAUUCGAAGCAACGCGAAGAACCUUACCAGGGCUUGACAUCCUACUAACGAAGCAGAGAUGCAUAAGGUGCCCUUCGGGGAAAGUAGAGACAGGUGGUGCAUGGUUGUCGUCAGCUCGUGUCGUGAGAUGUUGGGUUAAGUCCCGCAACGAGCGCAACCCUUAUCGUUAGUUGCCAGCAGUAAGAUGGGCACUCUAACGAGACUGCCGAUGAUAAAUCGGAGGAAGGUGGGGAUGACGUCAAAUCAUCAUGCCCCUUAUGUCCUGGGCUACACACGUACUACAAUGGUCGUUAACAGAGGGAAGCGAGACCGCGAGGUGGAGCAAAUCCCCAAAAACGAUCCCAGUUCAGAUUGUAGGCUGAAACUCGCCUAUAUGAAGUCGGAAUUGCUAGUAAUCGCAAAUCAGAAUGUUGCGGUGAAUACGUUCCCGGGUCUUGUACACACCGCCCGU